AANCUAAGCAUAUCAAUAAGCGGAGGANAAAGAAACCAACAGGGAUUGCCCCAUAGUAAACGGCGAGUGAAGCGGCAACAGCUCAAAUUUGAAAUCUGGCUUCGGCCCGAGUUGUAAUUUUGUAGAGGAAGCUUUUGGUGAGGCACCUUCUGAGUCCCCUGGAACGGGGCGCCAUAGAGGGUGAGAGCCCCGUAUAGUCGGAUGCCGAUCCAGUGUAAAGCUCCUUCGACGAGUCGAGUAGUUUGGGAAUGCUGCUCAAAAUGGGAGGUAAAUUUCUUCUAAAGCUAAAUACCGGCCAGAGACCGAUAGCGCACAAGUAGAGUGAUCGAAAGAUGAAAAGCACUUUGAAAAGAGGGUUAAAUAGCACGUGAAAUUGUUGAAAGGGAAGCGUUUGUGACCAGACUUGCGCCGUUCCGAUCAUCCGGUGUUCUCACCGGUGCACUCGGGGCGGCUCAGGCCAGCAUCGGUUUUGGUGGGGGGAUAAAGGUUCGGGGAACGUAGCUCCUCCGGGAGUGUUAUAGCCCCGGGCGUAAUGCCCUCGCCGGGACCGAGGUUCGCGCAUCUGCAAGGAUGCUGGCGUAAUGGUCAUCAACGACCCGUCUUGAAACACGGACCAAGGAGUCAAGGUUUUGCGCGAGUGUUUGGGUGUAAAACCCGCACGCGUAAUGAAAGUGAACGUAGGUGAGAGCUUCGGCGCAUCAUCGACCGAUCCUGAUGUAUUCGGAUGGAUUUGAGUAAGAGCGUUAAGCCUUGGACCCGAAAGAUGGUGAACUAUGCUUGGAUAGGUGGAAAGCCAGAGAAACUCUGGNNGGANNCUCAC
rnacentral:rRNA from 1 species